UGGGGUCAGGGGAUGGGACAAAAUCUAGAGCUGCCCAGAAGCCUUUCCUGGUGGCCUGCCCAGCUGUGUCAGCACUGCUGCAGGGUCCAGAGCUGUGAGGACAGAGGCAAGGAAAGAGACCUGAGUACAGAACCAGGCUCGACUCCGAACACAGUGUGGACAAGCGGGGAUUUACAGCCAAGGAGCAGGACGCGGGCCGGCGGUGUUCGGUGCGGAUGCUCAGCUGCCCGCCGCCUUCCCGGGGCCGCGCAUGGCGCACCCGGCACGUCCACGUCACUUUUGCACUAAGAUGGGGUCGGAUGGUCCGCCCCGGUUUUGUGCGAUCCCUGUGCAGCGGGAAGCCUUCUGAAGCUUGCACAACACAUCUCCUUCAGGAGGACAUGGACCUCACCUAUGGCAGCUGGGACCAGGGUGAGGCCAGAAGUUUGAAAUCAAGGUGUGAGCGGGGCUGCGCUCCCUGUGAUGGCUCUUGGGCAGUAUCCUUCCACCGUGGACUGGUUGUUUGUGUCCCCCCCAAAUUCAUAUGUUGAAACCUGAUCCUCAAGGUGACGGUAUUCAGAGGUGGGGCCUUUGGGAGGUGAUUAAGUCACGAGGGUGGAGCCCUCAUGAUGUGAUUAGUGCCCUUGUAAAAGAGACCCCCCCCAAGACCCCCCUCAUCCUUCCGCCGUGGAAAGACACAGCAAGAAGAUGCCUUCUAUGACUCAGGGAGCAGGUCCUCACCAGACAUGGAAUCUGCCGGCAUCUUCGUCUUGGACUUCCAGCCUCCAGGACUGUGAGAAAUAAAUGUGUGUUGCUUACAAGC
rnacentral:lncRNA from 1 species